UGGAGGACCGAACCGACUAAUGUUGAAAAAUUAGCGGAUGACCUGUGGCUGGGGGUGAAAGGCCAAUCAAACCGGGAGAUAGCUGGUUCUCCCCGAAAGCUAUUUAGGUAGCGCCUCGUGAACUCAUCUCCGGGGGUAGAGC
rnacentral:rRNA from 1 species